rnacentral:rRNA from 1 species
AUUGAACGCUGGCGGCAGGCUUAACACAUGCAAGUCGAGCGGGGAAAGGUAGCUUGCUACCUGACCUAGCGGCGGACGGGUGAGUAAUGCUUAGGAAUCUGCCUAUUAGUGGGGGACAACAUCUCGAAAGGGAUGCCAAUACCGCAUACGUCCUACGGGAGAAAGCAGGGGACCUUCGGGCCUUGCGCUAAUAGAUGAGCCUAAGUCGGAUUAGCUAGUUGGUGGGGUAAGGGCCUACCAAGGCGACGAUCUGUAGCGGGUCUGAGAGGAUGAUCCGCCACACUGGGACUGAGACACGGCCCAGACUCCUACGGGAGGCAGCAGUGGGGAAUAUUGGACAAUGGGGGGAACCCUGAUCCAGCCAUGCCGCGUGUGUGAAGAAGGCCUUUUGGUUGUAAAGCACUUUAAGCGAGGAGGAGGCUACCGAGAUUAAUACUCUUGGAUAGUGGACGUUACUCGCAGAAUAAGCACCGGCUAACUCUGUG